ensembl:miRNA
AUUAUGUUGGUGCAAAAGUAACUGCGGUUUUUGCUAUUACUGUCAGUGGCAAAAACUGCAGUUACUUUUGCACCAACUUAAUA